CACAGACAGGUUUACAGGAAACCCCUGUGGCAAAACGGCAGGAUGACAGGAUCCUUGAAGAUGUCACGGCACACAGGGACAGAAGAAAUCCUCCUCUUGGAAAGAUGAACCAGAAACCAUUUUGUAAUGAAAUCACUGCCACUUCUCUGUAAAGAGAGCAGACAGUGACUUGUUAUCUAAUCAGAGGGGAGUUGACAGAGACCGAAGGGGAGACUAUAAGAGGAGGAACGUUGACGUGUACAGCGGACGUAUCAGCACAGCGUUG
ensembl:lncRNA